UUCUUUUAUUGUCCUGAUUUGAAGAAGUUUUUUUUUAAUCAGAUAGGCAUAAAGACUAAUAAACACCUGAUACUUCAAUUUAAAAAAAAAAAAAAAAGAAAAUGCCUACCUACCUACUCACUGUCUCAAACCUUAUGCAAACAAAAUAUUUUUAAUUGUGGGCCACUUUUGAUCCUUCCAAAAGAAAUCCUGAUAUUAAAGUAAAUAUACUACCGUAUUCAGCAGUGUAUAGUGCGCAGUUAUGUAUAUUACGUACCUUCUUUUCAUCUCCACAAAAUUGUGAAACAAAGUUGGUACCUAUCAAAGGAAAUCAUACUUGUCCCUGGUCUCAUUUUUUCCCCUGAAGUUUUAAUUUGGGUAAAUGAAUUAUAAAAUAAAGAUAUGAGCUUCUUUUUGAAAUAUUGUUAUUUAAAC
rnacentral:lncRNA from 1 species